AAUUGCAGAAUCCCGUGAACCAUCGAGUCUUUGAACGCAAGUUGCGCCCGAAGCCAUUAGGCCGAGGGCACGUCUGCCUGGGCGUCUCACAUCGCGUCGCCCCCCCGCCCCGCGCCCUCCAAGGGUUGUCGGGGAGACCGGGGGCGGAUGUUGGCCCCCCGUGCGUCUCGGCGCGCGGCCGGCCGAAAGACGAGUCCCCCGCGACGGGCGUCACGAGAAGUGGUGGUUGCAAGACCGUUGCGUCGCGUCGUGCGCGCCCCGUCUCCGCGGGUUGUCUCAGUUGACCCUCGGGCCCCGUUUUCGCGGCUCCUCGACCGCGACCCCAGGUCAGGCGGGACUACCCGCUGAGUUUA
rnacentral:rRNA from 1 species